UGGAUGAGGGAAAGUUUGACCCCAUAUGUGGGUGUCUGUCACCAAGAUAGAAUGAAUGUAAUUUCCAAGGAAAAAUAAUCCCAGGCAACCUCUUCUGGAUUAUGUCCCAACUGAUUGGAAAUGCUGGGAACUUUCUGUGGUUGAAGGACCUUGACAUUUGUUGUCAAACUGCCUGUGAGUCACUUAUCUUCUGGGGGAAAAUAAACAUAACCGUGUCUUCCAGUCUGAAGUGGGGUGGGUGGGUGAUAUGAAGCAUUGCACACAGCAGAGCCUGCUGCCCCUCCACAGCCUCUGCAAAUGCCGUGUGAAGGUGGUGGACCUGCUACCAGAACUGGUGUCCUGCUGUCUCUGUAGUUAACUCUUAGGAGAAAUAACGGUUGUGUGUGUGGAGCUCCAGACUCUGUGCUCUGUUCUGCAGUGUUGGAGCUAGGACCGCACAUCCCAGCUGCUUUGCCAGUGGCUUCCGGGCCACCUCCAUCAGCAGGAGGCGGUAGAAGCACCAGCAAGAUGGGGCUUUGGUCCUUCCUGUUGGCUUCCUGUUGCCCCAGCUGUAGCUGUUGAAUUCAGUCUUCAGUUAUCCCAGCACUGGCCAGCCAGCCUCAUCGUCCACACUCCCUGCAGAUCCCACCACUCCUCCAAGGAAGUCUCUACCUCAGGGCCCUUUGGCUACGCUUCUAAGGUUAAGUCUAACCGGUUCCCUCAGGCCUAGGGGUGGUGGCUGCUUCCUGUCGUUGCUACUUCCCUGAUAUCUAGAAUUUUCCUUUUUCUACCCAGUUACCUGGUUACUGACUUUCUACCCAGUUAACAAUUUAUAUUAAAGCCCUUCUGUUCAAAAAGCUUAUGUAGUUUCUGCGUUCUA
rnacentral:lncRNA from 1 species